AGAGUUUGAUCCUGGCUCAGGAUGAACGCUGGCGGCGUGCUUAACACAUGCAAGUCGAACGAUUAACCCGCCCUCGGGCGGUUAUAGAGUGGCGAACGGGUGAGUAACACGUGACCAACCUGCCCCUUGCUCCGGGACAACCCAGGGAAACCUCGGCUAAUACCGGAUACUCCGCGCAGCCCGCAUGGGAGGCGCGGGAAAGCCCAGACGGCAAGGGAUGGGGUCGCGGCCCAUUAGGUAGACGGCGGGGUAACGGCCCACCGUGCCCGCGAUGGGUAGCCGGGUUGAGAGACCGAUCGGCCACAUUGGGACUGAGAUACGGCCCAGACUCCUACGGGAGGCAGCAGUGGGGAAUAUUGCACAAUGGAGGAAACUCUGAUGCAGCGAUGCCGCGUGAGGGAAGAAGGUUUUCGGAUUGUAAACCUCUGUCUUCAGGGACGAUAAUGACGGUACCUGAGGAGGAAGCUCCGGCUAACUACGUGCCAGCAGCCGCGGUAAUACGUAGGGAGCGAGCGUUAUCCGGAUUCAUUGGGCGUAAAGCGCGCGUAGGCGGCCCGUCAAGCGGGGUUUCAAAUCCAGGGGCUCAACCUCUGGCCGGACCCCGAACUGGCGGGCUCGAGUGCGGUAGAGGAAGGUGGAAUUCCCAGUGUAGCGGUGAAAUGCGCAGAUAUUGGGAAGAACACCGAUGGCGAAGGCAGCCUUCUGGGCCGCCACUGACGCUGAGGCGCGAAAGCUAGGGGAGCGAACAGGAUUAGAUACCCUGGUAGUCCUAGCCGUAAACGAUGGGCACUAGGUGUGGGGGAGCAUCUCCUCCGUGCCGCAGCCAACGCAUUAAGUGCCCCGCCUGGGGAGUACGGCCGCAAGGCUAAAACUCAAAGGAAUUGACGGGGGCCCGCACAAGCAGCGGAGCAUGUGGCUUAAUUCGAAGCAACGCGAAGAACCUUACCAGGGCUUGACAUAUGGGUGAAGCGGGGGAGACCCCGUGGCCGAGAGGAGCCCAUACAGGUGGUGCAUGGCUGUCGUCAGCUCGUGUCGUGAGAUGUUGGGUUAAGUCCCGCAACGAGCGCAA
rnacentral:rRNA from 1 species